GCCUAAUACAUGCAAGUCGAGCGAACAGACAAGGAGCUUGCUCCUUUGACGUUAGCGGCGGACGGGUGAGUAACACGUGGGUAACCUACCUAUAAGACUGGGAUAACUUCGGGAAACCGGAGCUAAUACCGGAUAAUAUUUCGAACCGCAUGGUUCGAUAGUGAAAGAUGGUUUUGCUAUCACUUAUAGAUGGACCCGCGCCGUAUUAGCUAGUUGGUAAGGUAACGGCUUACCAAGGCGACGAUACGUAGCCGACCUGAGAGGGUGAUCGGCCACACUGGAACUGAGACACGGUCCAGACUCCUACGGGAGGCAGCAGUAGGGAAUCUUCCGCAAUGGGCGAAAGCCUGACGGAGCAACGCCGCGUGAGUGAUGAAGGUCUUCGGAUCGUAAAACUCUGUUAUUAGGGAAGAACAUACGUGUAAGUAACUAUGCACGUCUUGACGGUACCUAAUCAGAAAGCCACGGCUAACUACGUGCCAGCAGCCGCGGUAAUACGUAGGUGGCAAGCGUUAUCCGGAAUUAUUGGGCGUAAAGCGCGCGUAGGCGGUUUUUUAAGUCUGAUGUGAAAGCCCACGGCUCAACCGUGGAGGGUCAUUGGAAACUGGAAAACUUGAGUGCAGAAGAGGAAAGUGGAAUUCCAUGUGUAGCGGUGAAAUGCGCAGAGAUAUGGAGGAACACCAGUGGCGAARGCGACUUUCUGGUCUGUAACUGACGCUGAUGUGCGAAAGCGUGGGGAUCAAACAGGAUUAGAUACCCUGGUAGUCCACGCCGUAAACGAUGAGUGCUAAGUGUUAGGGGGUUUCCGCCCCUUAGUGCUGCAGCUAACGCAUUAAGCACUCCGCCUGGGG
rnacentral:rRNA from 1 species